GACCCAUUGGCGCAGAAGGCAGCGCACCCAUUCGAAAUAGAUCUGCUGUAAAGCUUAUCAUUGUGUGUGUGAGGCCCCAGUUCGAAUCUGGGAUGGGUCG